CUUUCCACCUUUUUUGUUGUUAACCAAGCUGCCAUCCUCCUAGUUCAAGAUUACCUUGGCUCUGGAGAUGUUCCUAACUGGACUCCCUGCUCUCCUAUUCUCCCUAUUUCAGGCCAGCCUGCAUCCUCCAGUCAGAUGUGAACUUGGCAAUACUCUCAUUCGGGCCGGGGGAGCCCAGGAGUCUGUGGGGCCCACUGACCUGGGCUUCGCAGGGUUUAGGCCCGUACAGCUUUGCUCCCUGGACAGGGCUGCCACCUCCAUGUCAUUUCCUCCAUGGAGGAAUAGCAGGUGGCAGCACAGGCACACUCAGCGGACAAGGUUGGCUGUGGGGGAGCCAAGAAAGCUGCUCUCAUAUUCAAACUGCAAAGGGAUCCCUCUUACUGGCUCUGGGUGGAAACUGGAAACUGCACCUCUGGACACUCUUGGACACUCAAUGGAAAGCCAUCUCUGGACACUCAACCCUGAGGAACUGUAAGCCGCUGGCGAGCCCGGGGGCGAAGCGCAGAAGUUUAUUCUCAGCCUGGAGGCGAGAAGCCUGCUGUGGACUGAAUGUUUGUGCGCCCCCACCCCGCGUUCCUGCGGUGGAGCCCCAGCCCGAGUGCGGUGGACGUGGAGGCGAGGACUUCGGACAUGAUGCUGUGAAGGCGGGCCUCGUGAGAAGGCUCUUGCAAGAGACACGAGAGGAUCUUGCCCUCACCACGGAGAACCUGCAAGAGGGACUCUCCCCGGGAGCCAGACAGCCCCACAGGUCUAGCAGACCCACAGGGCCAUCCGUUGCAGCGCCGCAUCGCCUUCCCAGCGAAGCCACACCCAUGGGACACCAUCUCCAACGGGCAGCUUUGGACCUCGAGGUGGAGGGCACGCUUCGAGGACUCUGCAAAGAGGCUGGCAAGUAGAACCUUGUAGGCCUGGACAAUCUCUUCUCACCCAGUCGUGGACAUUUGUCUCACCUAAUUUGACAACUCUUUCUCUCUGACUCAGAUUGUGUCUUUCAAGACAUUCAGCUGAUACUUCACGACAGUAUCUCCCCUGGUUUGUGUCCUUCUGGUUCAUCAUCCAUUAAUACAACAUUUCAUUAGAUUACAAACAGUAAUUAAAAUGCCAAGUUCACUGUCAGGAAUACCUUAGGGAAGACAUGCUGACGGGUGAGCCUACCCCCAGCCGGUGACCGAGAAGAGGCAGGGUCUGGGGAGGAGGCUGCCAGCUCCCCCCACGGGCUCCUGAUGCGUCGGGUGUGGUGCCGAACGUGAGGAGGUGUGAACCUGU